rnacentral:lncRNA from 10 species
GAAGGCUCAUGUGGAAUUAAACCCGGGCUAAAUAGGUGGCCCAGGGCAGCCGGGGCCCCAUGCAGCUCCUCGAAAGACAAAUGUAUUUUGAGCAGGCCUGGCUCCUACUCCUUCAGGGAGGUGAGCUGCUCAGUUGCCAGAGUAUCAACCUGAGCCCAGGACACUGCCAGACUGCUGAGUCAAAGAGGGUUUAGCAGCCCAUUUUCAUAGACAGACAGGUGAGAGGAGGAUGCUGGACAUGGUCCCAGAGACAUGGGGACUCAAGAAACAUGAAGAUCUGUUCACAGCUAAGGGCACAUUUCCAUGCCGAGAAAUCAGGCGUGAGCGCAAGAGUCCUAUCGUCUACCAGAAAAAGAAAUCUUUGGGAGCAUUCAAGGAGGAAUGGCUUCAUGAUGGCAAUGAGCGGCAUCGCCUGAAAGACAGCCUUCGAGAGUCUCCCAGAGCCGCUGAGGAGCAAGGCAGAGAACUGCAAUCCAAGCAAAUGUGGUGGGUGUGAAGCUUUCAAGAAGUUGGGUCAAGAACAAGGACUGAAAGAGGAGCAUCAAUUUAUGGGGGCCACUGAGGCUUUCAGAGAUUUUGUGACCUACCAAACUGGCACAGCUAGUAAAUGGAUGACAAGCCAUUAACAUGGAAAGAAGAAGAGGCAUCCAAAGUGUUGGGUCCGCAUCGCCCUUGCCUUGGAGGAAGCUCCAAAUAGAGGGAAGGAUGGUUUCCAGCAGUCCCUGAAGUGCCUUUCCUCCUUCGUGGGAUCCAGUUACACCCAGCAGACUUCAGUUUGAAUAAACAGAACUAGAUGAAUACACCUAGGGAAUCUGUGAGGCCAGCCUCAGCUUUUAACAUCCAGCUACAGGGAGGUGAGAGAAGCUUCAGCCAGUUGUUUUCUAAGAGCGAGAUAAAGAAACCACCCUCCAAUUAUGCAUCAAAUUCUGCUUCACAGUUGAAUAAGGGGCAUGAAAUCGGAUGUUUUUCAAGCUCAAUAUAAAGCAGUGGAAAAC